rnacentral:lncRNA from 1 species
CAAAACUUGAAGUACUGAAUGGCUUUCCAUGACUUUGUGCUUUUGCCUGUAAGUAUGACUAAGCCCAUAGUAUGUCACAUUUACUUCUGGUUUUAAUAAUGUAUUGAAAGACUCCACUGGUCCUAAGUCAGGGACAUGUACAGCAAAAAGUUUAUUUGUUCUUCUUUUUAAGUAAAUGUAGGCAUGGAGCCUGUGGCAACUCAUGUCUGUUCUGAACAUGGGGUGCAAACGUGGAGUCAGUGGCUACACAUGUCCAAUCUGAAGUGAAUAUGAGGUGCAAAAAUGGAGUGUCUCUGGACCUGUCAACUGGCUUUCAGCAUGGAAUAAGGCGUCAGCAGAUCAGCCCCAAAGAACUGACCUGAACAGCACAGGAACUGACACUUUAACUACUAAUCCAUCUCCUAAUUGUACUCAUUGCUCAUCUCCUAUUUUGUGGUCAUUUAAAAACAACAACAGGAGUAUGGUUUUCUAAAAGUAAGUACUCUUGGUUUUCUAAAGUAAGUACUAUUGUAUA